UACGUAGGGGGCAAGCGUUGUCCGGAUUUAUUGGGCGUAAAGAGCGUGUAGGCGGCUUGGUAGGUCCGCUGUGAAAAACUCGAGGCUUAACCCCGAGCCUGCAGUGGAUACGGGCAGACUAGAGGUAGGUAGGGGAGAAUGGAAUUCCCGGUGUAGCGGUGAAAUGCGCAGAUAUCGGGAGGAACACCGGUGGCGAAGGCGGUUCUCUGGGCCUUACCUGACGCUGAGGAGCGAAAGCGUGGGGGAGC
rnacentral:rRNA from 1 species